AACGCGAAGAACCUUACCAGUCCUUGACAUGCCUGUCACGUUUACCAGAGAUGGUUUACUUCGGUUCGGCCGGACAGUGCACAGUUGCUGCAUGGCUGUCGUCAGCUCGUGUCGUGAGAUGUUGGGUUAAGUCCCGCAACGAGCGCAACCCUCUUCCUUAGUUGCCACCAGGUUAUGCUGGGCACUCUAGGGACACUGCCGGUGAUAAGCCGGAGGAAGGCGAGGAUGACGUCAAGUCCUCAUGGCACUUACGGACUGGGCUACACACGUGCUACAAUGGUGGUGACAAUGGGAUGCGAACCCGCGAGGGGGAGCAAAUCUCCAAAAGCCAUCUCAGUUCAGAUUGCAGGCUGCAACUCGCCUGCAUGAAGUUGGAAUCGCUAGUAAUCGUGGAUCAGAAUGCCACGGUGAAUACGUUCCCGGGCCUUGUACACACCGAGUAUA
rnacentral:rRNA from 1 species